GGUUGGGAAGGACAAUCGGGACAAUAAACUGUGGUGUCUCUUCUGACACACCCGGCAUCUCUUCUGGCGUUUGUGCCCAUUUUCAAGCACCUUACUGGAUGGGACGCCCGUGGAGCGCACACGUCACUUCUGGAUCGCCGCCCUCAGGGCGGGACAACAGCGGCGAUCCGGAAGUGACGUGUGCCCUCCAUGUGUGCGCUCCACGGGCGUCCCAUCCAGUAAGGUGCUUAGCGUUUUUGUACUGCUACUAUCCUCUGGGGAAUCGGACACCAGUCGGAAGACACUGCCACUUUCGUACCAUGCUUGUUUACAUCUACUAAACGGUACGUGCAUUCGGAGCGGGGGUCGUUUUAUGUGAAGGGAUUGUUUCUUUUUAAGAAUAAUAAACGAGUUUACACUAUGUCUGGUACCCUUUUGUGUUUUUAUGUGGAGCUCUGCCUGCAUUGACCCCAACUUGAGAACGGAUGAUCCAGUGCAAAGAUACCCUUUACUGCCUAUAAUCUAUCAUUCUGGUGAGUGAGUACCCCUAAGGGGAGUGUGCCCCACGCGUGGUGACUUUUCUGGGAAAAGGUGUAGGAUUACUAUAGCCUGUCUUCACUUAUAAGAUCUUCAAAUCCGUCACCAGAUGAAUGCUACAUAUGAAAUUGGACAUUAUCAACCAAUAAUCAAGCGCUGUUUUUCCAUUUUGGACUAUUUUUGUUCUUUUAUUUUGAUUUUUUUAUAUAUGUUUUGCUGCAUGUGUCUUUGACAGUGCGUUUAAAUAGCUGCUCUCACACAAUUACCUGUUUUGUUCUUUGGAUAGAAUAUGGUAACAUAUCCAUGGUUCUAAUUGUACUGUUGAGUCACUAAGAUAAUUUCGGUUAUCCGAUACGACCACUAAUAUUGAUUGGUUGUCUUAAUCAAUAUAUCAUUAAUUACUUCGCACCAAGGCGCUGAGUUGUGCCACUAGGCCUGGUGUUGCACUUUUAUUUUAGUUAUAGAAGGCCAAACUGAAAAAAUAAAUGUACACUUUUUUGUACCAGUGACGGGAUUUUCUUGAGGGAAGGUAGGAUUCAAUCAUCUGAUCGUUGAAGUACACUCCUCCCAUAAACAAAUUGUAAUCGUAGACACAAGAUGGUUUCUGGACUGGGCCUUUUCUUUUGGGGACUUCCACGUAGGUGUUGUCGUGGAUGGUGGUGAGCAUGUGGACGUCUCGUUUGUCCCUCCACUUGACAGCCAAUAGCUCCUGGUUCCGCAAAGAUGACGUCUCUCCUCGUCUUAGCUUCUGAUUGACCAAUUUUUGUGGGAAGCCCUUUCUGUUGGUUCUUACUGUGCCACAUGCUGGGGUGUCUCUCCGGUGUAGAUUGUGAAACGGGCAAGCUGGUAUAAAAAUUGUCCACAUAAAAGUGGUAUCCCUUUCCAAGGAGCGGAUAGAUAAGCUCCCAGACCACUUUUCCACUGCUUCCAAUAUACUCUGGGCAUUCGGGGGGGAUGCAGUUGGGAGUCCUUCCCUUCAUAUACAAGGAAAGAGUAGAUGUACCCCAUGUCUCGGUCGCACAGUUUGUACAUUUUCACCCCAUAUCGGGCCCUUUUGCUGGGGAUGAACUGUUUGAUGCCCAGCCUGCCGGAGAAUUUCACAAGGGACUCAACUAUGGAUAUAUUCUGUUCAGGGGUAUAUAACGGGGAA